rnacentral:tRNA from 1 species
AUUUAUAUAGUUUAAAAAAAACAUUAUAUUUUCAUUAUAAAAUUAGAUUUUUUAUCUUAUAAAUA